rnacentral:lncRNA from 1 species
AUGGGGCUUCCCAGGUGGCACGAUAGUAAAGAAAUCACCUGCCCAUGCAGGAGACCCAGGUUCAAUCUCCUGGAGGAGGAAAUGGCAACCCACGCUAGCGUUCUUGCCUGGAAAAUUCCUUGGACAGAGGAGCCCGUAGACUACAGUCCAUGGGGUCGCAAAGAGUCGGACACAACUGAGCACUCACACACCUCCCACUGUCCCUUGUUAGCAUCAGCAUCAACUGAGACAACUGACUGCCUUUAUGCAGCUGUGAUUCUAAGGCUUGAAGACCAUUUUCCUACUUGGGACAGUCUUGUGGGAGAUGUGCAAAAAGGUAGAUUCACUUUCUGGAUUAUUUAUAAUUCCAGAGUGCAGCUCGUUCAUAAUAUAACAAUCUCUAAAUCUAUGUGCUUUUUGCUUAUAGCAAGGUGGCUGGGCUUCACUCCCUGGGCAUCUCCUGGACCCAAACAAAGGGACCAUGCUUGGUCGUCUCCUCCAGGUCCAUGGUUCCCCAUGUACCUUUCGUCUAUUGGACCCUCAUACCUACUCUCCCCUUGUGGAGAGCAGAAUUUAGGGUCACAAGAUCUGUAACCUUCACGCCUUCCAGUGCCCACGCCUUCAGUCUGUUUCGUCGGUGCUCAUGUGACCCCAGGUGGCUUCGGUGACCGCGGUGAGUUCAAGGCCUUGGUGGUGCACAUCCAGGGGAGAAGCCUGUGGUUUCUGUCUCUCCCAUCUCAUCCUGACAUGCUCCUCCACCCUGGCUGCUUGCGUGGGGUCUGCCUCUGACCUGAGGGCACCAUGAAGUCUUUACAUGAUUUGCCAUCCUUCAGUUUAUUUGUCUGAAUGUGUAGCAGGCUCUCAUUGUUUCUUCCUAAACACUUUCCUUCUCUGAGACAAACCCCCUUGUCUGUAGACUGGCCUCCUGGUCUCCUGUCUGCCACCAACAUCAGAACACACUGGGCAGCCCUGCUGGUGGUUGAAACAUUCCAAUACUGGCUUCAAGUAUGUAUGUGUCAACCCCAAUCUCCCAGUUUAUCCCACCCCCGUUUGGCCCUUGUUUCCUUUGUAUCCAUAUAUCUAUUCUCUACUUAUGUGUCUCUAAUUCUGCUUUGUAAAAUAAGAUUGUCUAUACCACAUUUCAGUUUUUUAUAAGCCACCCAGUUGGUGUACUUUGUUAUGGCAGCUCUAGGAAACGGUUACACUGACUUCAUGGGCUGGAGCCUUGGCUGAACCUAAGCUGCUGAGAGUGAGCUGGCUGCUCGAGAGUGGUCUCCUGGCUGGCUGACCUGCUGCCAUGCCCAUGGGUCAGUGUCCUGCCAGCUCGUCACUCUACCACCCUCCCAUUCUCAAAGUGACGUGUUAGUCGUUGAGUCAUGUUCAACUCUUUGUGACCCCAUGGACUGUAGCCUGCCAGGCUCCUCUGUCCAUGGGAUUCUCCAGGCAAGAAUACUGAAAUGGAUUGUUACUCCCUUCUCAAGGGGAUCUUCCCAUCUAGGGAUCGAACCCAGGUCUCCCGCAUUGCAGCCACCCAGGGAGCCCCAGUAUUCUUUCCUGGGAAUUUCCAUGGACAGAGGAGUCUGGUGGACUACAAUCUAUGGAGUCACAAAGAGUUGGACACAACUGAGCAACUAAUACUCUCACUUUCCUGGUCCCCUUCUUAAAGCUCACUUCUAAAGAGAGCACUCUGCCUGCACACAAUCUUUCUAGCCAUGCAUUUCAGUAGCUCCCUAUUGCCUAUCAAUUCAUUGCAUCAAAUUAAAAAACCUAAGUUUUUUUUUUAUUCUCCUUUGUUCCAAAAGAUAUUUAGGAUAGUAUCUUAUUUACUUUUUUGAGAUUCUUAGUGAUCUCACUGCAAAACUAGACCUUCAAAACAGUCUCAGAAUCCAGAUCGAAUUAUUAGCUUAAUUUGUUCAGAUCAUCCGUUCACUUGCUGACAUUGUCUCCAGGGGCAUCUACUCUGUGCCUGGCACAACAGUGCAUCAGUAGCCAAGGCCUCGCUCUCAGGAGCGUGAGCGCAGCUGGGGCUCCAACCCAUGGAGUCAGUGCAUCCUUUUCCUGGAGCAGCCAUGCUGCUGCUGCUGCUGCUGCUAAGUCGCUUCAGUCGUGCCCAACUCUGUGACCCCAUAGAUGGCAGCCCACCAGGCUCCACCGUCCCUGGGAUUCUCCAGGCAGGAACGCUGGAGUGGGUUGCCAUUUCCUUCUCCAGCAGCCAUAACAAAGUACAAAAACUUGGUAGCUUAUAAAAACAGAAAUAUAUUGAUUCUUCCUCACAGAGCUGGAGGCUGGGAGUCUGAAAUCAAGGUGUAAGCAGGCAGGGCUAUACCCCCCCCAAAGGUCCCAGGGAAGACUCCUUCCCUGCUUCUUGCAGUUUCUGGGGACCCUCAGUGUUCCCUGGUCUGCGACAACGCAUUCCCAAUUUCUGCCUUCAUCUUCGCACGGCAGUCUUCUCCCUAUAUGUCCAGAUCUGCUGCUCUUUAUAAGGACACCAGCCCUUAGGGCCCAUUCGAAUCUAGCAUGUCUUCUUAAUGGCAUCUUAGCAAAGUCCCUCUUUCCCAAUAAGGUCACAUUCUCAUGUGCCAGGUGUUCAAGCUUAACAUCUCUUUUAUGGGGACACAAUCCACAACAAAGCAGCAAGGACAACAAAUGAGAACAAAAUUUUAAUGAAAAAUAACUUUUUAAAAAACUCCAAAUUUGCUUAAAAUUCACAAUUUUAUAGUAGACACCAGUAUGGACAGUUCUUGAGAGCUUGGCCCACUGAAUCAUAGUGUCUGAGUUUAAAUCCUAAAAAGAUAAACUUCUCCCCUUUUUCAGAAAUAGGUUAAUAGUAGUGAGAUGGUUGGACGGCAUCACAGACUCAAUGGACAUGAACUUGAGAGAACUCCAGGAGAUAGUGAGAGACAGGGAGGCCUGAGGUGCUGCAGUCCAUGGGAUCGCAAAGAGUUGGACAUGACUUAGUGACUGAAUAACAACAAAAUAGUAAUGCCUAUGUUACUGAACUGUUGGGAGGUGGUGAGCAUGUCAACUUAACACGAUAAACAUGGCAUGAUAAACAUGUCAAUUACCACGUAUAACACCUGACCUAAUAGUAGUAUUUAACCACUUCUUCUGAUUUACUCCUUUUUAAUUUAUCAUUUAGAAUUUUAAUUUUUCAAAACGCUAGAAUAUCUUAAAGGAAUUGCUAUUGCACUUUAAAUCAAGCAUUAUUUGCCCUUGUGCAAUCCUUAGCUGUUGUUUUGUAAAUGGGCUACUCUAUGCUCACACAGUUCACCUUCUAUUAAGUAACAGGGAUUAUAAAUAUCAAGUUAUUCAGACACUGUAUUCCAUUGCAGUGAAUAUUCUGCUCACAUGGCCUACUCGCUAUGGGAAGGUAAAUCAGAUUAUAAACUUGAGCCAUUGUGCCAUCGUAUAACCACUGCAGUGAACUGGAAGACAGUGCCUACUUGAUUUUAUUUAAACUGAAAUUUCCCAUAAUGACAGCAGCAUGGGACAACAUAACAACCCAUCAGCCAAGUUCAAGAGCUGUUUACACAGUACAUAGGUAAAAUGGGUUUUGCUACUAUGAAUUUUACCUGUAGUGACUUUUCGUUAAUAUGAGCCGAGGUAAAUUGACUAUAGACUAUCAGUCUCUGGAAGGUAGAAGCCUCACUGAUUGAAUAUUAUAGUAAGAGCAAAUUGGCCACAUUUCCCCACUAUUCUUGAAAGGAAUGGACUUG